GCAGAUCAUCUUUGCAUUAACUUAAUGUACUAUUCUUGAUAUGGUUCUAUUUCUUUCAUAUUCAACUUUACACAUCUGUAGAUUUCCAUGGUUGCAUCAAGUUCCAAAGGUAAAUAAUUUUUUCUUACCUUCAUAUAUAUUAUUUCACUAUGUAUAAUUUGAAGUUGAUUGUGCUAAAGAGACCAUCUUCCACGAUUUAUGAAUGGAGAUCAUUUCCUACUAUUUAUCCACCAUCGCACACGCCUUAUUAAUUUCUUAGUCUUUGAGCUUAUGUUGUUUUAUCCUGAUAUUGGAGGAUGCGAUAUACAAAAGCAGGAAAUUUAUGAAGCCAUCGAGUUACCUCUGAGUCAUCAUGAGUUGUACAAGCAGAUUGCUAUAGAUCCUUCCUAUGGCGUGUUGCUCUAUGGUCCACAAGGCACUGGAAAAACCAUGCUUGCAAAGGUUGUAGUACAUCAUACCACCACGACCUUUAUAAGGGUAGUUGGUGGUGGUAUAAGGACAGUAAAAUAAGCAAGCACUUGUGGAAAACUAAUGAACAUGAUUAGAGUGUCUAUUCAAUGUAUUGAGAUAUAAUAUAAAGUCUAUUUGUCGAAAGCUACUUAUUUUGAUCUUAAAUUGAGAGGAUGGUUUCUUAUUGG